UUUUUUAAUUUUUUUUGUUUGAAUUAUUUAAUAAUAUUAUGUUUUAAAAUUUAAAUGUAUAAUUUAUUUUUACAAGCUUAAUUAAUAUGUUUUACAUAAUUUAUCUGUCUAUCUUUUUAACACAUAAUUAACUAAUAAGUCUAAAUUUUAUAUCAAUUCUUUUCAUAUUACUUAUAUAGAAUAAAUUAAAAAAUUAUUAAAAUUAAAAUUUUUAUAGAUUAAAUGGUUGAAUCAAAAUGGCAUGUUAUAGUAUCUACCCAUUUUUAUCCAUCAAACAUGAAGAAAUUGCGUUGGUCACGAACAAAAUUUAUAAUAUUUUAAUAAUUAUACAAUUUAAUGAAUUGAUUUCAACUUUAAAAUUAUAAUUUACACUUAUCUUCUCAUAAAUCUAUAUUUUUUUUAUUAAGUAAAUAUUUUUAUGUAGAACUAAGCUGAUAUACUAUCAGUAGCACGGAGGCCUCCAUGCUACCAAGUUGUUUUUAAUGAUGCGAUUUCCAAAUUGAUGAUCGGCUCUUACAUUAUACUCUUCUUCUCUCAAUUAAAACUCUAGUAAUAGAAACUCUUCUUCUUCUUCUUUCUUUACCUCGCUCUCCUCCAAUGCUAGUUUCGAACCCGUAACUAGAAUUUCUUCGUCCCUAUUUAUCUACAACGCGUAUUGCUUCACCCAUAUCAAACGCGUAUUACUUUUCCAUUUAAUUUUCUCUAUUAUUUUUUCGUACUUUGCUAAAAACAAGAUUUAGGAGAAAUGGAGUGAGAGAAGUGGUUGUAACAAAGAUGGAUUGGGUUGGAUUUUAAAAAGGAUGAAAAUUUGACAUUUUACUUAUUUAUUGUUAAAAAUUUAAUAAAUAUCUAACGGUAACAAAUCAGAGGAAUAAAUAUCAAUAUCCCUCUCUAACGAUAAUAAAUCAGACAUAUAAAUAUGAAUAUCCCUCUCUAACGGUAACAAAUCAGAAAAAAAUAAAUAAAUAUUAUUAAAUUUUUAUAGAAAUAAAAGUUAAAAAUUAAAUCUUGUAAAAAUAUAUUUACUAUUCGAUAAAUUUAUAU
rnacentral:lncRNA from 1 species